rnacentral:tRNA from 1 species
UCAAAAAGUAGUAUACAUUAUUACAAUUCGUUUACACCGAAUUAAAGGCUCUACACCCUUUUUGA